GGCAGGGGAAUUCAGUCCCAAUGGAGCUCCUCACUUAAAGUAGAUAAUCUUAUGUUUCCUUCAUUAACAUGUGAUCUUGAUUGUCUUUUUUGAAUGCCUGGCUUUCACAGACUGCUUGCCUGGGUUUCUCCAUUGUCAUUUCGAAACUGAUCUAUGAUAACAAACAGAAGAGGAGGGCUGCUUCACGUUGUCAGUGAGCCCCCCGUGUACACAGAUGUGAGAUAGAUUGGAGGGGUCCCAAGAUCUACAACCAAGACAUCAGCUGCUAAAUAUAAGUUCACAGUUCAGGGGAAGUGCUCUGGAGCCUGCACUGGGGAUGGAGCCUGUCUGAAUUCAUCAUUGAGCUUGUCUUCAGGGAAAGGGAGAACAAGGGUUCUGCACUGCGAAAACCCAGGUAGGACCACAGCUCAGGGGCAGUCUGCCUUGGUAACCAAUUCUGU
rnacentral:lncRNA from 1 species